rnacentral:misc_RNA from 1 species
AGCAGCCGCGGUAAUUCCAGCUCCAAUAGCGUAUAUUAAAGUUGCUGCAGUUAAAAAGCUCGUAGUUGAAUUUCGGGAUCAAUAUGUUGGUCGUGCCUCGGUACGUACUAGCUUAUUGGUUUCUUCCUUCUGACGAACCAUAAUGUCAUUUAUUUGGUGUUAUGGGGAAUCAGGACUGUUACUUUGAAAAAAUUAGAGUGUUUAAAGCAGGCUCACGCUUGAAUACAUUAGCAUGGAAUAAUGAAAUAGGACGUUUGAUUCUAUUUUGUUGGUUUCUAGGAUCGACGUAAUGAUUAAUAGGGAUAGUUGGGGGCAUUAGUAUUCAAUUGUCAGAGGUGAAAUUCUUGGAUUUAUUGAAGACUAACUACUGCGAAAGCAUUUGCCAAGGAUGUUUUCAUUAAUCAAGAACGAAAGUUAGGGGAUCGAAGACGAUCAGAUACCGUCGUAGUCUUAACCAUAAACUAUGCCGACUAGGGAUCGGAUGAUGUUAAUUUUUUAAUGUACUCAUUCGGCGCCUUAC